AGGGACAGGAGCACACACCAUGAUUUCACACAUCCAGCUGAUCUGGCCCCUGGCAUUCUGUAUCGCAGGUAUCAGUGGGGACAUCAUCAUGACCCAGUCUCCCCCGGUACUGUCAGUGGGACUGGGCCAGACUGCAACCAUCACCUGUAAAUCCAGUCAAGACAUUAACGAUGAGCUUUCCUGGUACCAACAGCGAGAAGUCCGUGAGAACUCACAGCCCAAGCUGACCCUGCUGCCCCCCUCCCCGGAGCAGGUCAAUGCCAAGGGCACUGCCACCCUGGUGUGCCUUGCCAAUCACUUCUAUCCCGAUGAGCUGGAGGUGCAGUGGAAGAAGGACGGUGCAGUCAUUUCGGACGGGGUUCAGACCAGCAACUACCUGCGAGCUUCGGACAGCACCUACAGCGUCAGCAGCCUGCUGACCCUCUCUGGGUCUGACUGGGAGUCGGAUGCUCGCUUCUCCUGUGCCCUCACCCAUGUGACCCUCCCCUCUCCCCUCAGCAAGAGCAUCAGGAGAUCAGAAUGUGUGUAGUGUGUUGGAGAUAGUCCAGAGAGGAGACACAACUUUAAAUAAAAUAGGGCUGAGCUGGCAGGACCAAGGUCAUUGUCAGAACUGAAUUUCACCUCUCUUCCUUCUCAGGACCGGUUAGAGACAUUUCUGAGGUUCAGGGGUUAUGGCAGUUCAUUGGGACACUGUAGAUAGAGCUUUUUGCUAUGUCAAACCCCAUGCUGUCCCUGUUCUGGGAGUGUUUGAUGGGGACAGAGUUGACUUAUGAUGCCAAGUAAAAUCUCUUGAAGUUCCUGAAGACUGUCAGCUGUACAAAACAAUGUGAAACUCAGAAGUCUCUGCUUCAGUAAACCAGAUCUCCUUCCUGCUCAGCCGCCAGUUCCAAUUUAAGGUUUUAUCACUGUUUGAAGGGACAGGAUUCUCAUGUUAUUGAGAAAAUCUCCACAAGUGUUUUC